CGGGGCACUAUUUAAGCUCAAGUCUUCUAUCACUUUAUUUCCUGAGUCAUGGUGUAAGCAUGCUAGCUUCUAGUUCUGCUUAGCUGAGUCUGGGACCCACCAUGUAGUUUUGCCUCCUGUGUUGCUCCUGUAUGGACCCUGGACAUCAGUCAUCAGCUUGCAGUGCCUUGGGCAGUCAAUGGACCUUGUUUUCAGCACACAACUUGGAUGCUGCAGGACUACACUUAGGUCAGUGAGAGCACAGCCUGGGCUGGGUUUGCCCUUAGUUUGUGAUUCUGCUGCUCCCAGCCCUGUGGAGCAAACCUGCUUGUGCUGUACUAGGGCACAGAAGCCCUCUUGUACACACCCUGCAGCUGUGCUUGCUGAACCUAUUCACCCAGCAAUGAAUACUCCAGAUGACUUCAAUCUCAAAGGCUCUCCAGGAGAAAGAAGACCAAAAUGGCAUGACUGUAACCUGAUCUGAAAGGCAAGGUCUGUCUGUGCUUGUAAACAAGGUUUAGUGAUUAGAGAGGUGCCAUGACAACAGAAUUUGCUUUCACAUGUUGCAUCAUGUUGAACCACAAGGGACUUGGAUGAUUAUUCAGGACAACCUAAGAUGACUCUAUACAACUUCCAGUGAAAAAUACACUGUAGGAUUUAUUGUUUUAAGGCUAAAUGAUUGGAGUAAUAAAAGAUAUGUAAAAAGAUAACA
rnacentral:lncRNA from 1 species